rnacentral:rRNA from 1 species
AUGGUUCGACCUCGUUCGAUCCCCCUCCCUUCGAACUCCCACACGCACGCAGCAGCCCACCAACAUAGCCCACGUACGAAAAAACACCAACUCAGCGCCCGCAAAAAAAAAUACAACAACUCAGCCCACGUACGAGAUCCACAGUUCAACACACGAACGAUAAGUCCAUGGAACCCCACGAUCGCGCCCAGUCAACAAAAAAACAGCUCCGCAACCCACGAACGAGGACGAGGUCCAUCGACCAAAAAUCAAACUUCUUCGACCCGCCAACGAACGCCAGUUCUUCCUGGCGUACGAGCUCCAUCAAGACGCCAGUUCUUCCUGGCGUACGAGCUCCAUCCACACGCGAAAGCACGCCGCCAAAACAGAAACGCCGCUUCAAUCGUCGUCCGGCCACAUCGUUCGCACGCGAGCUGUGGGAGCUGCAGCCUCUGCUGGUCGCCUCCAAACACAACCUCCGCUCGACGGUUGUUGCUGCGUCAUCUCCUGAGCGCGCCUACCGUCUUCUUUCUCUCCGAUGGCAAAGGAAGUUAUGUUUCAUGGUGCCUGAACUCCCUAGGUUUGCCAUCCUGA